rnacentral:snRNA from 1 species
GAGUGAUCUGGCUGUAGCAUCUUUCCCUUUGUUGAUCUCUGGAAUGGAUUUGGUUGAUCUGGCUGGUGAGGUUGGUGUUGCCUUCCUCUCCUGAAGCUGUGGGCUGGCUUGAAGAGGACCACUUUCCCAGAAUAGAGGAGGGUCAGCUUUCAGUCAAGUGUGUACAAGUAGUAUCUACAGUCCCCUGCUAGAACCUCCAAUCAAGUUCUCACUUUCAUUAUCUUAGGGAUUAGGAUUUCAUUAUAAAAUUUAGAGGGGAAGCAAACAUUUAACCCGUUAUAAUUAACAUCUUACUAUAGGCCGGGCGGUGAUGGCUCAUGCCUUUAAUC